UCCUUAAAGUCAUUGAGGAUGAUGACAGAAAAUUAUAAGUUGUAUUGUUUCACAAAACAGGGAGAAGCAAUUGAAUACAAAGACAGACUGAAGAUAAUUUGGCCUGAAAUCCAACUCUGCUGAUGAUUCUGGAGCUCUUAGAAAUCAAGCCAGAAGAGGAAACAGGUGCAAAAUGACACAGAUAGAUAUCUGACUUAACUAAAUCACUUCAGUUCUGGAUAGAGUACAUCUGUCUCUGCUACUGAGAUAAUUAAUUUUAUCUUUAUGGAGAAGGUAAGAGAUUUAAUUGCUCUUUCUUGUGUGUUUAGAAAUCAGCACAAGAAGUACAAUAAUUAUGAACUCUGACAUUUCUCAUGUAACUUUCCUAGUUUUUAUUUUAUUCUUUUUGCAGUAAGGCUAGGUGGCUUUAAUCGAUAAAUAGCUGGCCUUGGAGUCAAGAAGACCUGAGAUCAAAUUCAAGUGUCUCAUAUUAGACCCUGAUGCUGGACAAGUGAAUUAACCUCUCUGAGCUUCAGUUUCUGCUUCUGUAAAAUUGGGACAAUAGUACCUAUAGAACAUGGUUGUGAGGAUCUUAUCAGAGUGCAGCCCUGCAUCCAGUACAUUGAAGACUCCUAAACCCCCAACCACCAGGAUGAGGCAGUGGCAAGGAAGAAGCAAUAAGUGGGAGGCACUAUGGUGUAGCAAGAGACAUGUUUUACUCAAGUCUGAAGUUUCACCUUAGUUCAUUGACUUAAUCAUAG
rnacentral:lncRNA from 1 species